AGGUAAUUACUGUUUUAAGCUGAAAAUAACUCAAACAUGUUAAAUAUUUUCGUACGAAAAAAUGAUUUUGGUAUUACGUAUGUAUGAGGAUUUCGAUGGUACCCGGCCCCUUAAUGGCAACGAAUGCCUUUU